ensembl:lncRNA
ACAGACACACAACCCUUCAUUUAGCAGACUAUCUUAUGCAAUGUGGCUCUGAGUUCAGUGUUCAGAUACAGGAGCAUUGUUUAAUAAAGCAGAUGCUGUUCAGCGGACAUAUAACUGUUGGUUAAUCCUGAAGAAGAUCAGUGCUUCUACCUUAUACCACAGUGCAAGCAGACGAGAGUCAUAGGCAUGGGAAACCAGACCAUUCCGGGGUUACAUUUACAGCUGGGUGGACUGACACAAUGCAGGUAAAGUGGCGUGUCCAAGGACACAACACGCGCCAUUCAAGCAGCCACCUUCUGAUUGGCAGCCUGACCCAUUAGACCACGGAGCUACAUGCUCUGCUCUCUGAUAUUGUGAUGAAGGAACGCUGCAGUCUCUCCUCACACCCAGCAAAAGAAGAGUGAGAGAGAAGGCCAGAGUGAAAGAGCGAAACAGCGAAACAGCGAAAGAGAAAGAGAGAAAGAGAGGUAAUUGAGUGUUAGGCUGAAAGUGAGUGACCCCUGACAUAUUCGUCACUGUAAUUCUGCAGGUAAGUGCUUUGGGUAAGUAGUUUGUACAACCUACACGGAAGAGGAAAAAGGAAAGUGUUCUCCUUUUGAGAUCAAACUAUAAAGACACACUUGGUCUCAGGGGCCUAAUGGAGGCAUCGGCCCCCGGAGCAGGGGGUUGUGGGUCGAAACCUUACAGGAUUAGAUUUAGUCGUUGAAAACUAAACUACACACUGAAAGGAGUGAACGCCGUUUCCAGGUGGUUUGGUACACAGGCUGCAUCCCUACCAAACUGGUCAUGAGAGAGCAAUCAAUCAACAAGGACAGAUGCCAUAUUUAGCAUGAUGAUGAUUAGUGGGUAAUAUUUGGAUGGAGAAACACAGUAUUCCCUCGUGAUCCUUCAUGUCUGAUCUCAUAAGUGCGUCACAGUGGAUCAGACAUUCAUGUGUGUGAUGGUAAAGAACUGGUACCAUGAGGUGCCUCUCAAUCCAAUGCUGAAUAGAAAUAUGUGCUAUUGGACUCUAAUUUAAAUGUAGAAAACUACAAUCUGUGCACCUACUCAUUUCGUAGAUGUGUGUAUCUAAAGCAAUUUCCAGUGCUGAAAUACAUUAUCAUCAGUAUGUGUGCUCGCUGUAAACUCAUAAAGUGUUACGAUGUUAUACUAUAAGCCCUUACAGCUUGAAGAAUCAGAAUGUGUAAUAAAGCUUCUUUUACACUUUGAUAAUGGCACUGAUGACAUCUUUGCCUUAUGUCAAACACUGUUUAUUCACCACACGCUCUUUACGGAGCCAUAUGUGACUCCAUACAAGCUACAACAUCAUGACGUCUGAUUAGAACAGAAAGAGGGAUAGAUAGACAGAUAGACUGACAGAUAGAUACAAGGAUAUAUAGAUAGAUAGACCUAUACAUACAGAGAUAAAUAGAUAGUUAGUAACUGGUACACUCCAGAUAAAGCAGACGUAUGUGAUGUGCACCAAGGCCCAGGGGCCUAAUGGAUAAGGCAUCAGCCUCCGGAGCUGGGGAUUGUGGGUUCGAGUCCCACCUGGAUCGCAACCUUAUGAGAACAAUGGAGAGCUAUAGGACAAUGUUUCACAGACACAAGACACAACUUCCUGUUCUACAAAACAGCAGUAUACAGAUAGCUGUCCCAAGAUGCUACUCUGUUAUCUCCCAUAUGCAUCACACAACAGUGAUAUAGACAACCGUCAUAUACACACACACACCUCAGCCCCUAUCAGAAAUUCAUCACCAGGGUCCCGUUCCUCGUACCUCGCUAACUGAGUUACCGAGAUAAAUUUCAGGAUGAAAUUACAUAAGUCAGCUUUUUCGGUUCCACUAAGCAGCUUUGGCAAAAUCACCGUAGCAACACAUCCAUAAACUUGAACCUGCUCCAUCGCAGGCUAAUUUAAGUGAGCUGGAUAAGCUUGCCACUCCCCCGGGAAAAAAUGGCAGUUCCCUUCCUGAGAGAUCCCAGGAAGGAGCGAUAUUAGUUAGAUUAGUGUUUUAUAGGGAGAGAGUUCUUCGAGAUCGCCAAGAUCUGUUAUCACAUCAUGAUGACUUCUUAUAUGAGCGCUAUCGAUUCUGCCGACAAGGAAUCAUUUAUUUACAAGACCUUCUCGAGCCAUACAUUGCAUUGACUGUCUCACAGACUGUAUGCAUAGCCUUGCGCUGCAUGCCGUGCUGUUGGUAAAGUUUAUUUGGCGCUUAAGAAACGUAUGGAUGUGUUCAUUACAUUCCCUGGCCAUGUCCGAGUAAAUGCAAUCAAAGAGGGCUUUUAUGGAAUUGCAGGUAAUUGAGUUAUUCAAUAUUUCACCAUUUAAUGAAAAUAAUAAUGAAUUAAUAAAAUAUGAAGGAUAUGACACUGACAAGCUGUUCAACACUUACACACUUGGUAAGGAGGAAUGGAGAAUCGAACUAGCAACCUUCCGAUUACUAAACGCCUCACUGUACCACUGUUGCAUAUGUCGUGAUACACACAUACAUACAUACAUACAUACAUUAUGGUCUUGUAUUCUUCAUAAUGGUUCAUUAUCAUCUCCUGCUCGCCAGCGGAGAAAAAGGAAGCUCUUUCUUUAAGUUUAGUAGCCAUUGUUUCGUUAGAAAAUCAUGGUUUUGGUGAUCAAUGCUUCACCCUUUUGAAGUAGGACGGGCACGCGCAAUUACCCUGAUAACUGAAGUCUGGUUCAAAUUAACAACAUUGUUUGAGCGCUGAUCAGCCUUGGAGGGACCGAGAUAGCCUGUCUUCAAUCAUCGCGUUAAUUUAAGCUGGCUAAUAGGACAUUUGAUCAACUUAGUUGAACCACGUAUGAGGAAUAGGGCCCUGGUCUCUGCCUUAAUUAAAUAAUAGAGUCUACUUUGCAGCUCACCCAAAAUGACCACAAGUAGUGGUUAAAGACAUUCAGGCACUCAGUGGUACAUAUUUACCUCAGCACUUAACUCUGUUAUUCAGCUAACAAAGAAGUCUUGCUUGCUUGCAAUUUACAUAUGAAUCAGCCCCGAUUGUCACACUAAGUAGACUAAGCAUUGGUAGCGCUCGGCUGUUAGCUUAAGGGUAUAACUAGUGCUAUAAGCUAUAACUAGUGUUACUGGUAAAAGGGGUGGGCUUUGGUUGGUUUGUUAUCUAGCCAUACAGCUUGGUGAAUAUAUCAUGGGGCUAAUCAGCACAGUUCAUUUACCCUUCCGGAGUGAGGGGUCAUAUUUAAGCACCUAGGUGAUUCUCACAUGCUCUGACCGUUUUGAAAAUGUAAUUCUGCCCCAGAUUUGGAGGAUCUCCAGGUUUCACCCCACAUAGCUAUCCAGCUAAGUCGUGACUGUCAGAGAGGGUAAGUGCUGGGUCAUUGGGAAGUGGUCCUACUAAAUGGUCCAUAGAACCCGUAUAAAAGGUAAUGAUUGGCAAGUAAUUUUUUUAGUAUUGUGUAUAGAUGACAGUGACACACGGUCAUUUGUGGUACUUUGUGAUUUGCUGAGUCCAUGACACCAAGAGUGUGUCACUCUCCCAUUUGUACAAAGCAAACGGUAAUUAUGUACUCUACAGGUGCAAUGUUAAGUUAAUCGCUGGUAAUUAGUCUUCUGAAUGUAUAGCAAUACUAGUAUGUUUUGUAGUAGUCAAAUGGUGCAGACCAUCAACAUGGACAGGCCCAGUGGCCUAAUGGAUAAGGCACCAGCCUCCGGAGCUGGGGAUUGUGGGUUCAAGUCCCAUCUGGGUCGUAAGCUUCUAAAGAACAAUGAGGACUUCCUUUGGAGAUCACAUGAAGAUACACAGGGCACUCUAAGAUAUCCCACACCCUAAAACCCAGUAUGAACUCCACAGUAAUGUCUCCCACCAAGCAGUAUUAGCCAUCUAUCAUGUGAAUUGCACAGAGCAGAACCCAAAAUGGCUGCCUUAUAACACCAUUUAAUUGUGUUAUCUUGGCGCAACCCUUUCCAAGUGCACACAACAGUGAUACAGGUUCUGGUAAUAUAAGGCAUAUGUUUACAUGGGUGGAUACAAACCAAGAAAGUGCACAGGCCUAAUGGGUACUGUAGGUGCAACUCGACAACUUCUAAGAACAAUGGGCCUCAUUCUCGAACAUUUUCUGAAGUUUCUUCUGAAAUGUUUCUUACGGACUUCGGAAAACGAACGUAAGAAAAAGAUCUUCGCCAGAUUCAUGAAUGCCUGAAAAUGUGUUCUUAUGCAGCUGAAGUUUUCUCAGCUGUGCUCCCCCGGAUGAGGAUUCUUAAAUUGAACGCGUGUUCUCGUGCACCUGAAUUUGCAUACAUACACGCCCCGCCAGCUCCUUAUAAGGGCACGCAACCGUAGUGACGUGUGCAGUCAGAAUCGACCAAAUCCACGCGAAAGCAACUCGAAAGCGAGUCAUGUCAAAGCGGAAAGCGAGCACCGGUCUAGUAAACGCAGAUCUAACUUCACCGGUGCAGAGGUGGAGGUACUGUUGCAGGAUGAAGAUGUGUCCAUUCUAUUCCACUAUGGCUAUAUCAACGCGAUUGAAUUUAGUGCUUUAUUUGAUUUAUCUAUUCACUUACAUUUGCAGUGUUCGUGUAGUCCUUUUAUUUAUUUUAGAGGACAUCACGAUGCCUUGUAGAAUCAUGACUAUAAAUGUGAAACGUAAUUGUUAAUGAUACAAGUAUUCUCGUAUUUAUUAUUAUUAUAAUUAUUUUAAUCCGAGGAUGUCUGUAGAGUUGAUGUGAACGCAAUCACCAACGAUUACUCACAAAUUCAGCCCUUAACACUUCUAACACGGAGCGGCCCAACACUGCAGAUGACGGAGAUGCAAUUUAAUUGUCGGUCUUUAAGUGCUAAGGUGUUCUGAGUGUAUAACAUGGAGAGUGUAAGUAUUUUCUUCAGUUUCUAAGAUACACACAGCAGCCAUGGAUAGAAAAAGUAAAUAUCACAAUGCAUUAGCAUGCACAGGCCCAGCGGCCUAAUGGAUGAGGCGUCAGCCUCCGAAGCUGGGGAUUGUGGGUUCAAGUCCCACCUGGGUCCCAAUGUAAACAAUGAGAGGUACAGAAUGAUGUUGAUUUAGAUGCCUCACAGAAAGAUAAAGCUGAGGCAAUCUUGUCCACAAAGCAUCAUUAUACGGUUAACUGUUCCCAUUAACGCUAGACUGUUAUGGCGUAUUCCCCAAACCUGACACAUUCCCUCACUACCCCCACCCAACACACACAAAGCCACACCACACCACAGGGUCACCUCUCCAUAGUAUUAUGACAGCAACGGGGAGCAAACUGAGAGUCCUCACAGAAACACACACAGUACAGUAUAUCAACAGUACAUUGACACAACACUUUUAU